AACAUCACCGAAAUGAGCAUAGUCAAUUAUCAUCCUUGCAUCAGCCCAAAAGAUAUUUGCUAUAUUUUCAUCGCAAUCUAGUUGCAUGUCAUAUUCAAAUGCAGGAUUCUCAUUCUUUUUAUCUCUAAAAUACUUGAGCAUACUUCCAGCUUCACCAUACAUCAAGUCCCUUUGUUGCCUGGUUCGCAAGUGGUUCUUGCGAUCACGACAUGUGUAGCCAAGGUUCAGUGGACCACCAACUUGUCGACUUGCUAACUCAUGGGAUUUUCUAGGUACAAUUCCUGAAUCAUCUGUUGUUUCAAUUUCAAAUGCUUGCAAGGCUGAAAUCUUCCUCUGUGAUGGCAUCAAGUGGCUUGUCCCAGUCGGUCCUUGUUUCUGCACGAGGACGCUUUGUAUUAUUACCCCUUUUGUCUUUUCUUCUGUAGCCCUCAUUGGAACAAACAUAUCUUGCUGAGGAGAAUCUUUAUCGCCUACGGAUCAGCUUGCCUUGGUUUCACUCUGAUCAUGGAGGACGAUCAGAAGAAAGAUAGGGCAAAAGGGAGUUGAU